GGGUGAGUAACACGUGGAUAACCUACCUAUAAGACUGGGAUAACUUCGGGAAACCGGAGCUAAUACCGGAUAAUAUUUUGAACCGCAUGGUUCAAAAGUGAAAGACGGUCUUGCUGUCACUUAUAGAUGGAUCCGCGCUGCAUUAGCUAGUUGGUAAGGUAACGGCUUACCAAGGCAACGAUGCAUAGCCGACCUGAGAGGGUGAUCGGCCACACUGGGACUGAGACACGGUCCAG
rnacentral:rRNA from 1 species